AAUAGAUACCCUGGUAGUCCACGCCGUAAACGAUGAGUGCUAAGUGUUGGGGGGUUUCCGCCCCUCAGUGCUGCAGCUAACGCAUUAAGCACUCCGCCUGGGGAGUACGGUCGCAAGACUGAAACUCAAAGGAAUUGACGGGGGCCCGCACAAGCGGUGGAGCAUGUGGUUUAAUUCGAAGCAACGCGAAGAACCUUACCAGGUCUUGACAUCCCGGUGACCACUAUGGAGACAUAGUUUCCCCCUUCGGGGGGCAACGGUGACAGGUGGUGCAUGGUUGUCGUCAGCUCGUGUCGUGAGAUGUUGGGUUAAGUCCCGCAACGAGCGCAACCCUUAUUCUUAGUUGCCAUCAUUCAGUUGGGUCACUCUAAGGAGACUGCCGGUGAUAAACCGGAGGAAGGUGGGGAUGACGUCAAAUCAUCAUGCCCCUUAUGACCUGGGCUACACACGUGCUACAAUGGACGGUACAAACGGUUGCCAACCCGCGAGGGGAGCUAAUCCGAUAAAACCGUUCUCAGUUCGGAUUGUAGGCUGCAACUCGCCUAC
rnacentral:rRNA from 1 species